UACGGAGGGGGCUAGCGUUGUUCGGAAUACUGGGCGUAAAGGGUGCGUAGGCGGGUCUUUAAGUCAGGGGUGAAAUCCUGGAGCUCAACUCCAGAACUGCCUUUGAUACUGAAAGUCUUGAGUAUGGGAGAGGUGAGUGGAACUGCGAGUGUAGAGGUGAAAUUCGUAGAUAUUCGCAAGAACACCAGUGGCGAAGGCGGCUCACUGGCCCAUUACUGACGCUGAGGCACGAAAGCGUGGGGAGCAAACAGG
rnacentral:rRNA from 1 species